rnacentral:ncRNA from 2 species
AUGCAGAAGUGCACAGAAACAGCU